ensembl:lncRNA
CACAGGCUGAGCCCCCUGGUGUGUUUGGGGAGCCGGCUCCAUGGGAGCCCCGUGAGGAGACCCAGCUCUGGCCUUCUGGAGCUCCAAGCCCCGCGAGGACUGCAGGUCCAAGCCUGAACGGCCGGCCGGGCAGGUGCAACUGACGGCAGCCGGCUCCUUGGAGGAGGUGGCUUCGGGCUCAGAAAACAUUAGGCCGGGAGGAAUGAUGGGUACACAGGUGUCAAGUGCUGGAUCUCAGAGGUCAGGACCAGAUCCAGGAGAGUGAGUGUCCAGAGGAUGAUUGUAGGCAGUUAGGGCUUUAAGUGGCCUUGUGGAGAUCCCGGGGUUCAUCGUGGCUCAGAUGUGGCAGGAUUCCUGUGGCCAGGGAACAACAGGAAGUGGGAAAGUUGCUGGAUGUGAAAGGUCAGGUACACAGGUGUGAAGGCUGCUGACCUUUAUCUAUGGACAGGUAAAGGGUGACCUUCAGGAUUGAUGGAAGCCUUUGCAUGGCCAGAAGAUUGGAGUGGCCCACAAUACCUUGUUUAUAUUCAUUUCCUAGAACUGGGACAAAAUAUCCAACACCAGCACCUUAAAGGAGAAAAGGUUUAUUUGGCUCACAGUUUCCAGAGGGUGCAGUCCAAAGUUGCCAGCCUCCAAGGUAGAAACAUGGCAGAAGGGCCUGACAGAAGAAAGCUGCUUACCCCCUGGGAGCCAGGAAGCAGAGAGAGAAGGGAAGACACAGGAGCAAAAAUACAUGCAUUCUUCCAAGUCAGGCCCUCAGUGACCCAGCUCCAACAGCCCCCUUCUCCUGACAGCCAUUCAUCCAUGAGCUCAUCAAUGAAUGAAUCACUGUGAUAGAAAGCUGAUUGAUACAGAUGGUCUCCAAAGAAACCCAGAAAACUACUGGAGGAGUAAAACAAUCAACAUUUCAGAAUGUUCAUACACAGAGAGCCCCAGCACCGGGUGACAAUUGAGCAGCCAAGCAAGAACCACCUUGUGUCUUCCCACUUGAGGUAUGAGACAGAAGCUGAGGAGGUGGGCAAGAGAAGGAACAGAAGAAUGAGGCUGAUCACACCUCCUACACACGCGCUUGUCCCACUGCAGGGAGCUCAAUCUGCCAUAGUCUGAGCUGAGGAAAGCCUGGGGACAGCCAGAGAUUUUACCCCGGGGCCAACAAUGAAUAAGAUGAAAAAGCUGGAAUGAAAGGGGAGACUUGAUACAACUGCUUUCUAUUUGCAUCUUAGUAAAUUCAGCUCAUCCAGAGUCCAGUUGAAGAUACACAACCAGUCCAGUUGCUGAUACAAAAUGUGGGAUGAUGAUUACCAAAUGGAAAGAAGCAAGGUACAGAGCAAUGCAUACCAUGAUAUCUUCUAUCUCAGAAAGG